UAUAGCGUGGUCGACUGUAUAAACGCAGAACUGAGAUCCAGUAAAACUAGAACUGAUAUUAGUCACUUUAGUCAGAACCGGUUCAGUGCUGUGGUUCUGACUGCGGUUCUGUCUGCGGUUCUGUCUGUGGUUCUGUCUGCGGUUCUGUCUGCGGUUCUGUCUGCGGUUCUGUCUGCGGUUCCGUCUGCGGUUCUGUCUGCAGUUCUGUCUGUGGUUCUGUCUGCGGUUCUGUCUGCGGUUCUGUCUGCGGUUCUGUCUGCGGUUCCGUCUGCGGUUCUGUCUGCAGUUCUGUCUGCGGUUCUGUCUGUGGUUCUGUCUGCGGUUCUGUCUGUGGUUCUGUCUGCGGUUCUGUCUGCGGUUCCGUCUGCGGUUCUGUCUGCGGUUCUGUCUGCGGUUCUGUCUGUGGUUCUGUCUGUGGUUCUGUCUGUGGUUCUGUCUGCGGUUCUGUCUGUGGUUCUGUCUGCGGUUCUGUCUGUGGUUCUGUCUGUGGUUCUGUCUGUAGUUCUGUUGUGGUUCUGUUUGUGGUUCUGUCUGUGGUUCUGUCUGCAGUUCUGUCUGCAGUUCUGUCUGCGGUUCUGUCUGCGGUUCUGUCUGCGGUUCUGUCUGUGGUUCUGUCUGUGGGUCUGUCUGUGGUUCUGUCUGUGGUUCUGUCUGUGGUUCUGUCUGUGGUUCUGUCUGUGGUUCUGUCUGCGGUUCUGUCUGCGGUUCUGUCUGUGGUUCUGUCUGUGGUUCUGUCUGUGGUUCUGUCUGUGGUUCUGUCUGCGGUUCUGUCUGCGGUUCUGUCUGUGGUUCUGUCUGUGGUUCUGUCUGCGGUUCUGUCUGCGGUUCUGUCUGUGGUUCUGUCUGUGGUUCUGUCUGUGGUUCUGUCUGUGGUUCUGUCUGUGGUUCUGUCUGCGGUUCUGUCUGUGUUCUGUCUGUGGUUCUGUCUGUGGUUCUGUCUGUGGUUCUGUCUGUGGUUCUGUCUGUAGUUCUGUCAUAUCAGUUGUUUUCAUUAAGGAUUCAUUGAUCUGA
rnacentral:lncRNA from 1 species